AUCUAUGGCCAUGCUACCCUCAGCAAGCCCAAUCGUGUCUGAUCUUGAAAGCUAAGCGGAGUCAGACCUGGUUAGUACUUGUAUGGGAGACCACCUAGGAAGACCAGAUGCUGUAGGCA
rnacentral:rRNA from 1 species